UUUCCGUAGGUGAACCUGCGGAAGGAUCAUUAAUGAGUUGUCAUGGGGUUCGAUGCUGGCAGCCAGUUUUUGGAUGCAUGUGCUUGCCCUAACAAUCAUCUUCUUCCAAACACCUGUGCACAUUUUUGAGGGAGUCUUGAGUUGGUUGCCGCUCUUGGGUGAUUUUCUCACAUUCCCUUAAAUCAUUAUACGCUAUUAACAAUGUUGAACGUGCUCUGUGCCGCAAGGCCAUUAAUACAAUACAACUUUUAACAACGGAUCUCUUGGCUCUC
rnacentral:misc_RNA from 1 species